GCCCAGACUCCUACGGGAGGCAGCAGUGGGGAAUAUUGCACAAUGGGGGAAACCCUGAUGCAGCGACGCCGCGUGAGUGAAGAAGUAUCUCGGUACGUAAAGCUCUAUCAGCAGGGAAGAUAAUGACGGUACCUGACCAAGAAGCCCCGGCUAACUACGUGCCAGCAGCCGCGGUAAUACGUAGGGGGCAAGCGUUAUCCGGAUUUACUGGGUGUAAAGGGAGCGUAGACGGCUGUGCAAGCCAGAUGUGAAAGCCCGGGGCUCAACCCCGGGACUGCAUUUGGAACUGUGUGGCUGGAGUGUCGGAGAGGCAGGCGGAAUUCCUAGUGUAGCGGUGAAAUGCGUAGAUAUUAGGAGGAACACCAGUGGCGAAGGCGGCCUGCUGGACGAUGACUGACGUUGAGGCUCGAAAGCGUGGGGAGCAAACAGGAUUAGAUACCCGAGUAU
rnacentral:rRNA from 1 species